rnacentral:rRNA from 1 species
GAUGAACGCUGGCGGCGUGCCUAACACAUGCAAGUCGAACGGAGAUUACGGACGGAAGUUUUCGGAUGGAAGACUGUAAUUCUUAGUGGCGGACGGGUGAGUAACGCGUGGGCAACCUGCCCUAUACAGGGGGAUAGCAGCUGGAAACGGCUGGUAAGACCGCAUAAGUCGGUUAAAUCGCAUGAUUUGAUCGGGAAAUGAGCAAUCAGGUAUAGGAUGGGCCCGCGUCCGAUUAGCCAGUUGGCAGGGUAAAAGCCUACCAAAGCGACGAUCGGUAGCCGGACUGAGAGGUCGGACGGCCACAUUGGGACUGAGACACGGCCCAAACUCCUACGGGAGGCAGCGGUGGGGGAUAUUGCACAAUGGAGGAAACUCUGAUGCAGCGACGCCGCGUGAGUGAAGAAGUAUUUCGGUAUGUAAAGCUCUAUCAGCAGGGAAGAUGAUGACGGUACCUGACUAAGAAGCCCCGGCUAACUACGUG